rnacentral:rRNA from 1 species
AUACGGAGGAUCCGAGCGUUAUCCGGAUUUGUUGGGUUUAAAGGGAGCGUAGGUGGAUUGUUAAGUCAGUUGUGAAAGUUUGCGGCUCAACCGUAAAAUUGCAGUUGAAACUGGCAGUCUUGAGUACAGUAGAGGUGGGCGGAAUUCGUGGUGUAGCGGUGAAAUGCUUAGAUAUCACGAAGAACUCCGAUUGCGAAGGCAGCUCACUAGACUGUUACUGACACUGAUGCUCGAAAGUGUGGGUAUCAAACAGGAUUAGAUACCCUGGUAGUCCGCACAGUAAACGAUGAAUACUCGCUGUUUGCGAUACACUGUAAGCGGCCAAGCGAAAGCGUUAAGUAUUCCACCUGGGGAGUACGCCGGCAACGGUGAAACUCAAAGGAAUUGGCGGGG